rnacentral:rRNA from 1 species
CCUACGGGGGGCUGCAGUGGGGAAUAUUGGACAAUGGGGGCAACCCUGAUCCAGCCAUGCCGCGUGUGUGAAGAAGGCCCUCGGGUUGUAAAGCACUUUCAGUGAGGAAGAACGCCUGGUGGUUAAUACCCAUCAGGAAAGACAUCACUCACAGAAGAAGCACCGUCUAACUCCGUGCCAGCAGCCGCGGUAAUACGGAGGGUGCGAGCGUUAAUCGGAAUUACUGGGCGUAAAGCGCGCGUAGGUGGCUUGAUAAGCCGGUUGUGAAAGCCCCGGGCUCAACCUGGGAACGGCAUCCGGAACUGUCAAGCUAGAGUGCAGGAGAGGAAGGUAGAAUUCCCGGUGUAGCGGUGAAAUGCGUAGAGAUCGGGAGGAAUACCAGUGGCGAAGGCGGCCUUCUGGACUGACACUGACACUGAGGUGCGAAAGCGUGGGUAGCAAACAGGAUUAGAUACCCUUGUAGUC